UAUGGCAGAAAAURUGCAAUGAACUUAAGAUUCAUUUAUAAAGUUAUAAUCUUUUAUUAGAA
rnacentral:tRNA from 1 species